rnacentral:lncRNA from 1 species
GCUGUUUUUUACAUAUGCACAAUGAUAUAUACAUGAGUAACAUGAUAUGUAAGAUUUGGGCUUCAGAAUUAAGAAUUACUUCUGGUAGGCUUGUUUAAACUAUAUCAUGAUCAAUACCUUGUCUUGUCAUAUAGUGGUAAUACAAAACUUUUAAAGUUUUGCCAUGUUCCAUGGGUAAUUGAAAACUUCAUGGAAUAACUUACAAUGCAUGAAUCCAUGAUGCAGUACUAUAUACAUCUAUAUGGGUUGACAAUUAUUUACUGACAAUUUGAC